rnacentral:lncRNA from 1 species
AAGCUGCUGCAAUGACAAUGCCAGAUCCUUAACCUGCUGCACCAUAAAAGAAUUCCAACGAUGUGUUAAAUUUGAGAUGCCUCUUAGAGACAUUUCACCUGAAAUGAUGUUAUAAUCUAGUAUUUUUGAGUUGGAUAGUGUUACCCCAAAAAUCAUAUCCAUGUGGAACCAUUGAAAGGGGCCUUAUUUAGAAAGAGAGUUUUUGCAAAUGAAAUCAGGUUAAGAUAAAGUCAUACUGUAUUAGGGUGGGCCCUAAAUGCGCUAUGAUUAGCAUCCUUACAAGAAGAGAGAAAUUUGUAUGGAAACACAAGCACAUAGGGGAGAAAUAAUGUGAUAACAGAGGCAAAGACUGAAGUAACGUAUCUCCAAGCCAAGGAUGCUAGUGAUUGAUGGCAGCCAACAGAAGCCAGAGGAGGCAAGGAAGAGUCCUUCACUAGAGAGAGUACGGCCCUGCCCACACCUUGACUUCAGACUUCUAGCCUCUACCUACGCCCGUGAGGUAAUUAACAUAUGUUUGUUGUUAUAAGGCUCCUAGUUUGCAAUAGUUUGUUAUGACAGCCUAGGAAACUAAUCUACCUAUGUGCAUUACUGUGGUCUGACUGGCUCUCAGCACUGCAGAACCUUUAGCUUCUGUAUUCUAGAUUCUCUGAGUCUCUUCCUACAAGAAUGGGGCAUGUUCAUUCUGGGAGGCAGGAAUCUGCUUCAGACACCCAAUGAAGAUUGAGCUAAAAAUCUACAACCACGAGUUGGAAAAGACAUUAUUUUUCUGUUGUUGUUGUUUUACUUCUCCAGCGGUAGUUUGUUCUCCAUCUUGCAUUUAUGCAGAUAAUGUUCUCAACACAAAUUCUAUUUUUUUUUUUUUUUUUUGCUUUUUAGGGCCAUACCCACAGCAUAUGGAGAUUCCAGGCUAGGGGUCAAAUCAGAACUGUAGCUGCCAUCCUACACCACAGCCACAGCAACGUGGGAUCCAAGCAGCAUCUGAGACCUACACCACAGCUCAUGGCAAUACCGGAUCCUUAACCCACUGAAUGAGGCCACAGAUGGAACCUGCAUCCUCAUGGAUGCUAGUCAGAUUCAUUUCCGUUGAGCCAUGACAGGAACUCCAAUACAAAUUUUUUCUGAGAUUUAAUUUCCUCAUGUCUAUGAGAGGGAAGUUCUAAGAAAUGCAGUGUGUCCCUAUAACAGAUUUUGGAAUUAUACAGCCAAGGUUAAAAAAAAAAAAAAAAAAACUUGAAGCAAAUUUAACAACUUGCCUCAUGUUUCUCUUUAGAAACACUAUCUAAAGAGAGUUUCAUGGAUUAAGGACAUCAGUAAAUUAGAAACAAAAUAGUUUUUUUUCUUGUUCAGGUAUUACCAGUCAUGAUAUAUCCAAAAUGCUAGCUAAUUAAGCCAUUUACUCUUGUUCUUUAGAAAUGAAGGCUGCCUUAUCCAUCUCCUAGGCUUUGAAGAAAAGUCUAAGCACUCAUACUUGAAGUAGCAGCAUCUUACCCUAAAGAUCCUUAAGACCCUGUUUUGAAAUUCUACAUCUCAGAGUUCCUGCGGUGGCUCAGCAGAUUAAGAACACAACACAUUGUCCAUGUUGCCAUGGCUGUGGUGUUGGCCUGCAGCUGCACCUCCAAUUUGACCUCCAGCCUGGGAACUUUUAUAUGCUGAAGGUGUAGCUGUAAAAAGAAAAAAAUAAAUUAAAUUAAAUUAAAUUAAAUUAGGAGUUCCUGCUGUGAUACAGCAGAAACAAAUUUGACUAGCAUCCAUGAGGAUUCGGGUUCAAGCCCUGGCCUCUCUCAGUGGGUUAAGGAUCCAGCAUUGCCAUGAUCUGUGGUGUAGGUCACAGAUGUGUCUGGGAUCCUGUGUUGCUGUGACUGUGGCGUAGGCCAGCGGCUAUAGCUCUUAUUUGACUCCUAGCCUGGGAACUUCUAUAUGCCGUGGAUCCAGCCCUUAAAAAAUAAAUAAUUAAAUUAAUUAAUUAAUUAAAUUCUGCAUCUGAAUUUACUUAUGGAUGGUAAAAAAAAAAAAAAAAAAAUCACAAUGCAUGUUUGUCCUCUGCCAUGUGCCCUCAUCAUUUUGAGUAAGGUGAAGUUUUAGAAAGAAGAAAAGCUGGGGAAAGAUCUCAAAAACUACAGAAUUUCUCUGAGGGUCAGAAAGACAAUAGGUUUUUUGGAAAAGUAAUGGGGGGACGCUCACAUGGUGAGGAUAAAUUGACGGGGUUGAGCUGAAAGCUAAGCAUCUGGCUUAUGAAAAUUUUUGCUGUCGCUGCUGGAACUAGUCAGCAUUAUAUAGUUCCUUGAUCACUAGGGACCUUACGCUCUGUCUUAAGCUAUUUGUGCACUAACAGUAACUUUGUUCAUUCCAUGAUUUCUACUAUUUAUUGGGGAGGGAAAGAAUAAACACUGUCUGAAAAACCUGAACAUAAAGAGAUCUUAAAAUAAGGAGAUCGAAUAUCAAAAAAUAAAAAAAAUAAUAGAAUACGUUGAGAUGCAAUAAAUCCAAAUGGUUUUCCAAACAGGAGGGAAAAAACUAGCUAAAGUAAAACUGAAGGAAAGAUGCAAAUAAAUAGGUAAAUUUCUUAUUCAGGAUCCAUUUGGAGGCUGUAUUUCUUGGCAGUUACUGCUUAUUAUUUUCAUGUUUCUAGUUUCCCAUCUCCUUUUGUCAGUCUACUGAAAGCUUGUUAAAAUCUUAUUUGCUUUUCCUGUUCUUUUGUGAUGGUUGUUCUUGCCUAAACUUUAAUGUUAAAUCAUGUAGAAGUGAGAUAAAAAGGAGAAAAAAAAUCCACCAAAAUAGGCACUGCAGUGGCCUGGUUUUAUGGAUAUUUUAUAUAUUGAUCAGCUUGUUUUAUUCAGACUAGAUGGGAGAAAAAUUGGGAAAUAAGGAAUCUCUCUUAAAUAGUAAAUUACAAUGCUGAUGCAAGGAUUUCCUGGAGAGAUUGGUUAGAGUCUGAAAGAAGUUCUGAUGUAGAAAAGAAAUAAUUUGUUCAUGGAUACUCCAAGAAGAACAAGAGGUUGCUACACUAAUCUUAUAUCGUCUUAUUUUGGAGAUGAUAAUAUAUUUAUUUUUGUCGUCCAGAACUAAAGGCAGUGUUUGACAGAUUGUAGAUCUUCCAUAAAUAGGUGAGAAAGGAAUAUGUGAAUAAAUAAAUUGAUGAUGCUAAAUAAGUAUACACUCAUCCGAUUAAAAGGAAUCUGGUCCAUUGAGGUUCUAAUGGUCAGAAAUGUUAGUUUCCACACCCAAACCAAGGACCACUUGAAUACAAAUCAUAUGCCCUUAGUCACUGUCUAACAUGAUUUAGAGAGUCCUAACUGUAGUCUUGGGCAAGUAACAUUUGUGAGCCUCCUUUUCUAAAAUUGGAAUAGAAUGAAAUAAUAUCCCAAGACAUAGUUGUGAAGACAAUGAGUAAUAAUGCAUAUAAAGUGCUUAUCAUUAUGCCUAGUGCAUCAUUGGGAAUGACGAAGAUAGAAGAAAAGGAAUUAUAUUAAGUGUUUUCCUGGCUAUUGUCAGCUACUUGUCUAACAUUUUCUCUUUCUUAUUCUUAACAUUCUCUAGAGACCUUUCCUCCCCCACCCUUUUUUUUUUUUUUUCUGCUAUUUCUUGGGCCACUCCCGCGGCAUAUGGAGAUUCCCAGGCUAGGGGUCGAAUCGGAGCUGCAGCCACCGGCCUACACCAGAGCCACAGCAACGCUGGAUCCGAGCCGCGUCUGCGACCUACACCACAGCUCACGGCAAUGCCAGAUCCUUAACCCACCCACUGAGCAAGGGCAGGGACCGAACCCACAACCUCAUGGUUCCUAGUUGAAUUCGUUAACCACCGCGCCACGACGGGAACUCCUCUAGAGAACUUUUUAAACCAUAUCUGUCCUUAAAUGCCACUCGCAAUUCUGUUACCUGCAUUUUGGAGGGCCAUGAGCGCCUUAACAUCUGCUCAUUCUCCACUGAUAACUAUCACACCCGUCCUUGGUUUCAAUCCCAUCAAACUCCACAUUGUACUAGUGUCAGUGGAGAAUCUGGUAAAGACUACUCGACCAUUAUAACCAUACAAAAUCCUAACAGAAUACCAGUGCCCUGCACGCACUGAGCCUAUAUUAAAUAUUCCUUUCCACUUAAGAGUCUUGCUUUACUUUCAUCAGCUAACUACACCUUAUGGCAGAAGAUGAAGACAAAUACACAUACACAUCCCCUCCCCCCAAUUUUAACUUUGAGUCUAGACUUCAACAGGCCAAAUCCAGAGACUUGGUGCUUAUGUCAAAAGUCACAGAGAGCCUAGCUACAUCAAGACAGUCUUUUGCAAUGGCUUACCUAAGAGAUUAAGGAUUUGUUUUUUUCAGGAAUAUUUUAGGUACCUCUUUCUAGAAGAUGCUCUGUGGAGCAUUACUCCACAUUGAAAUUCUAGAUGAAUCUGGCUCACUCUUCUCAAAGGAAUGAGUGGAAAUGAAUCUCUUAAAAUUAAGAGUACCUCUCCUAACACUACCAGCCCCUACCCCAAGCCUGUUACACUGGUGCUAAAUAUAAUCCCUUACCAGGGUAUGUACUGCGUAUCUGAAAAACAUGCGUAGUGAUCCUCUUGCGUCUUUCCUUUCUUUCUUUAUUAAUGAAAGGGUUUUUAUUUGUGCCCUCCAUUAUCCCCAGAACUACAACACAAAAACAAGAUGGGGAACUAUGAUUUAUCUUCCAUUUGAUAAAAACAUCUGCAGAAUAAAAUGAGCCUCUUGAUGCCGGAAUUGUCAUCAAUGAUGACUUUGACAAAAUGAGCAAUACAAAAUUUGCUAGCUCCCUUGCGAAGCUGAAACAGAUUGUCAAAUAAAACACUGGAGGAGACGCAUAUGGGCUGAGUAGACCAGCUUUGAAUAGGAACACACGCAGGUGGUGGCCUAGUAGUGGCUCUAAGGAGGGCUGCCCUAAUUUGGUGGGUCGUUUGCAUUUGAAAAUGCUCAUUGCUCAACAGUGAGUAUUCCCUAUAGGAAAAGAGAAUGGGUACUGCCCAAACUAUAGCUAUUUCUGUCCUUUGGCCACUUGAAUAAACCAGAGUCCCAGCAAAGGAGAGAGCAAGUUACACUCAAGCUGUCCAGUAGUAGUGAGCCUGACAGAAUACAGAUCAGUAACAUAUGAAAAAGAUGCUUAUGAAAUUCAAAUGCUUUAUGGGUAAAGAUGGAUUUUCCAACAACACUAAGCAUGGGAAGUGUAUGAAUGGGUAUAUUCAGUAUGCCUUUUAAGAAAUGACAAUGGGAGUUCCCCUUGUGACACAGCAGAAACAAAUCCCAUUAGUAUCCAUGAGGACAUGGGUUCCAUCCCUGGCCUUGCUCAGUGGUUUGGGAUCCAGCAUUGCUGUGAGCUGUGGGGUAGGUCACAGACAUGGAUGGAUCCCCCAUUGCUGUGGCUGUGGGGUAGGCCAGCAACUGUAGCUCCGAUUCGACCCCUAAACUGGGAAUUUCCAUAUGCC